AUGGGCUGGGUGUCGUGGGCGCUGACGAUUGGUCACAGCCCCUGGGCGACAGGAAGUGACCCCCAGAGAGCAGCGUCCCUCGAGGCAGUUCUGACCUGGGCUCGGAGGAGAGUAGAGCGUUUGUGUCAGAAAGGACGGCGGGAGGCCGGGCCAAUGUGGGCAGUGUAGGCUGCGCCGUUUUACCCAAACCGAGCUUCGGAUGGAAGGUGUCGGAUUCCACGGGAGAGUUUCUGCCAUUCCGGUUGUGGAGGGCAGCUGACCGUCGGGGCAUUAGCACAAGCCGUUUUGGGCUUGCGUUUGUUUACUUCUACAUGUAUUACGUCUUCUCCGUUUUCCACGUAUGCUACAUGUUCAACAUAAUUGUGAUCUCGCUGGACGUUUUGUGAUCAUCAUCUGUGUCAUCGUCCGCUUUUGUGGGACUGUCCGCUAUUGUGUCGACCCUGCGCCUUCAUCACCUCGUCAGCGCGUGAGCGCGACCCUGCUGUGCCUGUGUGCGGCCCAGCCAUCGGGAGGGAGCGCCUAGGGUGGAGGUCGACAAGCGGAGUCUCCGUGACCAAGGUCUACCGGGACGAGAGCCGUGGGGUCAGCCGGACAGCUGGUCCAGAGGAAGAGGGGGGUGGUUCCCGCUGGUUCUACGAACACUGAGCGGACACUUGCCUGCGCUGUGCCGCAGUGAUCUUUGUAUGUUCUCUGCUGUGUGUGUGUGUAUUUUAAUUGUAACUUCUUUGCGGGGAGGCAGUCCCCUGUUGUUUUUUUUCAUAUUUAUUUGGCGAGUACUCGUGGGGGUAUUUUUUUUUUUUUUUGAUCCGUUUUUCUGUGGGUGUGUGUGGGUGUAUGUGUAUGCGUGUUUAUACUUGUCAUUAAACUGCGUGUUUGUAUCGUUGUUCCCGUCUUUGUCGUGGUUUGUGCCGUGCACGGGUUUCGAGAGGUAAGUCGUAGACUGCCUCCGGCCGAGUGUCUGUGCGUGUCUGGCCGGCUGUGUGAGCGGCUGUGCGCGUGCUUCUGGCGAGGCUGUGGGUGGAACGCGACAAAUACCAUCAGGUUUAUUAUCAUCAGACAGUUCAAGUCCCUCAUAAUUUUAAUCCUGCUGUAUGGACAUGGGGUGUGGACUCUGUUUGCUGAUACAGGCAUUUGAGACCAAAUGCCUGAGUAGGUGCCUGCAAAUUUGCUGCAUGGAAAACAAAAGCUAGGACUUGUGUGAAACACAGUUGCCACCCUAGUGGACCACCAUGAACCCCCUUCUCAACAGUUAAGCAGUGCAAAAUGGUUCAGCCACAAGAACAGUCAUGACCUGAUGUCUAAGAAUGUCACUUGUUUGGGAUUAAUGAAUGCACAUCAGAUUCUAAAUAUUACAACCAAAAUUACAUUUGCUGCAACACGGCCCAUUUUGAAUAAUAGCAUUUUAUGUGCAUUCACAUAAAGCUUAAAACUUAUGGGAGUAAUUGAAAACUACUGUAUGCUGAUUUCUGGCCACAUAUUGUGGCCAAAUAGUUAAAUGUUUUGUACCCAGCAAGAUAAACAUAUUCACCUGCUGACUCUUUCAUACAUAAAUAAGAAUCAUCACAAGAGUUGUAUACUUUAAUUACAAAUAGUGAAAUACACUUAGAAGCUAAAGAAAAUUUCAAACUAUUUGUUCUUUACUGUGGACACAAACUUUUAAAUUAGAAAAACUAAAAAUGAUUUAGCAGAAGCUCAGACCUGCCCACUAAUAAAAAAUGUGAACACUUAAAAUUAACUCUGAAGUUAAAUUUCUAAAUGAAGUCAAAUGCAUCUAGAAAUAGGAAUAAUUUAUAUUGUUCAUACAUGUGCUUUCGUUGUUCAAAAGGAGUUCAAAUGAAAAUCUUUAUAAAAAGCUUUCUAAGUAUGUUUCAUAGAACUUUAAAGAACAAACAAAUGUAUAAAAUUAACAAAACUAAACGUAGGUCUAGAACAAAAAUUCACUAGACUACAAGGGAAAAAAAAGACCAGUAAUAAUCGGGUCCCUGCAGCAAGUUUCAAAUGCUAACUGGUUUUUUAAGCAAAACUCACAUGCGAGAAUGUAUUCUCAACAACAUUAAGUUCAUUAAUAAUAUACAAUAACAUCUCACAAAACACAUCAACACCACGUAUGCCGAGAUGAUCGAAGUUUAAAAUGUUUAUGAGGCCCAGGGUUCAAAAUGUGGUUGGGAAAACCCUGCAUCACUGUUCACCCUAGCGCAAUGUCAAAACAUGUGCAUCACACAUUGAAUUUUUGUGUUUCAUAGACUUGUAAAAAAAAAAAGAAAAUGACAAAAAGCAAGAGCUUUUUUUUUUUUUUUGCUCACAACCAUAUAUCUGCUGCACAGAAAAAAAUGUUCUCUAAACAAAUAUGCACAGCUUUUAACAAUGGGACUCUCCUCCAGAAAUAUUAACAAAAAAA